ACAGAAACCAGGAUGAGGGAUAAAACUAGUAUUUAAAAAAGGAAAGAUGUACUGAUUAAUACUUGUUUAGAAGAGAGAAAAGUCAGGGUGACUUAGAAAGAAGGUUGUGAACAGGUUUGUACUGUCUGUCAAAGUGUGUUACUGUGAAAUUCAACAGCUAUUAUUUCUUUUUAUAUCUGCUAGCUGCGUAAAAACCAACACAUCAAAGAGGCAACUGGGCCCAGGUCCUGGAAAUGGGAAAGGAGUUUGUCUCUUCUGCUUAUGACUGGAAAAGGUAAAGGUUUCUUAAAUUGACAUGACAUUCAGUUUAAACACCUGAUGUGGUGUCUUGGCACCAUUUUUGAUUGUUAUGUUAUUCGAACACAAGACAAAAAGACAAGAACGCAAAAGGAACUCAAAAUCUGAGUGGCUCAUGACUGACACUCCUCUGUUUGACAUGUGAUCCUGAAUGUGUGUAUUUGACUCAAUAUACACGGCUGUGUCAUCCUUGUGUGUCUAUAUUUGUAUAUUUUGGCUUGUUACAACCUAAACAGUUCAAUGAGACACUCUGAUAAAGCUCUAAGGUGAUGCACUGAUCAGUUGUUUCAAUUUAUACUCAUAUAAAAACAUUUCAUUUCUUAUAUUUUGUUAAUGAUCGCAGGUUUUACGAGGGUUUAAAAACACCUGUGUCACAGCUGAAUUUGAUAUAAUAAGAGGUUCAUAUUACAUCACUUUCACAAGCUACAUGAACUGAAACAUUUACUUCAUCAUUUCAAUGACAGUAAAAACUCUUAUUACUAAGGUUUAAAACCAUCAAAUCUCUAUCCUCGAGUAGGGAUAUGACCACUGUUUGCUGACAUACAGCAGAGUGAGGGUGAAGGAUGAAGAGCAGAUAUGAAGGAAAAAUACUAGUACACGUAUACACACACGCACACACACACAGGGACACACAGCAUCCUGACCCUUCAGUGAGCUCUUGUUCCCCCUUGAGUUAGACACAGAGGGUGUGUAAGUGUGUGUGUUGGCUAAUCUCCCAGGUGUAGUGGGAGGGAUUCUUGUAUUUCUCUUCCUCUUAAUGUCAGAGUGGCAUUUCUCUCCCUCUCUCUCCCUAAUUUAGCAGUAUGAUCUUCAUACUAUUUUUAGAGAAUGCGUACGUGUUGGUCUGUCUGGUCUGAGGUGUUUUUGUGAAUAGAUUGAAACUGCUUUAUAAGUCAGCUACUAACCUCAGUGCAGACUUUAUUUAGAGAUACUGCUGAGUCUCCUACAGCUGUCAUUUACUUCUUUGACGCCCAUUAGAGACUGAAAAACUCACCCCACUCCAUGUAGUUGAUUAACAUACAUAAUUCUUCUGUACAGUUUUUGCAUAGCUUUCAGAAAUGUUUUCAUGUCAGUGGGAGUUUGCAGUUUUAAUCAAUUAAUUUUGCAGAACCUUUUAGAUUUUUCUUUCGAACAAAAGUUUGUCUGACCAUAAAACCAAAAAGCUCCUCAGCAGAGUUUCAGCUGGUUAUCUAACAUACUGAAAUGAAUAUCAGUGCCUCUGAGCUGUAAAAAUGACAGACCUUUUGUGUUUAAUAUUUUUUUCUUUUUUUUUUAAAUUGUUGUUGUUGUUGCUGUUUUUUUUUCUAUGUCUGAAAUAGCUGGCAGUAGUAGGUUCCACCCAUAGACUGUAUAUAUUAUGGACAACUUGGCUCCACCUCUCUGUAUAUCCCGGAUUUUCUCCACUUACUGGAACCACCACUUGUGCAGUAGCAUUGUACGCAUUCAAUGGGAGAGUCGCUGAGAUGACACUCGGCUCAAACAGCGACUCUCCUUGGUGAGCUCUGCAAUCUUUGUACGUUCAUAGGCUGUAUCAGGUGUCAAUCAUAGAAAACAAGCAGGGGGAAAAAAAUUAUAUUCUGUGUAAUUAAUUCUACAGUUUGUCCACAACUCCAUAGGGAUUGCUGGAGGAGGCGGGAUUUAUGACCUAUACUGCAGCCAAAUAAUGACGAUAAUAUUCAUUUAAUCUAAAUUUGAAUAGAUUUUCACAUGUUGAUAAUUGCUAACUUAAAGUAAUGACCACAGUAAUGAAAAAAAAAGAAAGAAACUCAUGCUUCUUCUUAGCAGGUUAUGUUAUGGACACCCUUCUGCUUUUUUGCGAACUUAGGAGAAGUGGGGAAUAAAUGGGGGGAGUGGAGGGUAAAAGAAUGAAGAUGAAACAUCUGUUAAAUCAUUUAGUUGACAAGAACAGGUUGCUCUCUAAUCCCCCUACGUCAUCCAUACUUUACGGGCUACAAUAUUUAUUUAUUUAUUGUGCUGCCACAAAUAAGACCCUCAUAAUUUGGCCUCUGCACAUGGUGGCGCUCAGGCUCAUUACAAGUACCCACUAUUACCCACCAUAUGCUUUAAUUCUUACUGACUAACUAACCCACAAACUGAUUUGCUAUCACUAAGAGGGGAUAGGAGAUGAGAAGGGAGGGUUUGGGUCAUCACACCAAAAAGAGAAGGCAAAGAGAGAACUGAGGUUUUUGGUAAACUGAGAAGACUGUAGAUUUUCUCAUGGAUAUCAAACCAAUAUCAUAUCAGACUAUGUAUUAUCAGAUAUUACUCUAUGAUGCGCCAUGUAAAAGAAAAAUAUGUACAAUAUCAUCAUUAUUGUUUUAUAAUUUUGGAUUUCAUUUGGAGAUUAAAGUUUGGAGGAAGAGUGGAGAGACAUAUAAUCCAAGUGGUUUGAGGUCUAAAAAUGAUGCAGACUGUUAAUUUGUGGUGCCAUGUCAUCUGCUGGUAUUGAAUCACUUUUAUUUUCUAGCAAAUCUAAAGUCAGGGAAUCCUUCAAAAAAAAUAUUUCAGUCAGGACCACUUUAGUCAGAAUUAUUUAUUACAAGCAAACAUUUUUACAUUGGCGAUAUGGCUCUGUUCUGAGAGUUCCCUGCGCUUGCAUGGAAUGCCACGGCUAUAAGAGGGGAGAGCCCCUCCCCUCACUUUCAUGUGCAUACAUGAAUGGCCAAGGUAGCAGAUAAAUAAAAUUAAGAUACAUUAAUUAAAAUCCCCCAAAACAACCAUACCAGACGUCCCUACUGGCUUUCAUGAGCUACAUGAAAGCCGAGGUGGGGAAAGCUGCAGCAAAUAAAUAAAAUUAAGAUAAAUAAAUUAAAAUCCUCCCACAGAACAGAGCAAGCAUCAGUGACAAUACAUAUGACACUGGUGAGAUCAGACACAACAUAAACAGGAGGAGUGUGGGUGGAGGUGGGUUGAAGAGUGGUUGCAGCAGGCAGAGUAGGCAGGAGAAGCAGUUUAAAUAGGGUGCCAUUUUGACAUUAGCCAAUAGGAUGUGUAGACGGUGAUCAGCUGAGCUGUCAGCUGACUGAGGGCUGGCUUAAGAUCAGCUGACUGUAGCCUUUAGCUUGACUUCCUGUCGUGUCUGAACUACUACUACUAGAGCACAUCAUGUUUCCUGUCUUCUAACAAACUUUCGAAGAUGCUGAUUUCUUUUUCCAGCGGGACAUGGCACCUGCCCACAGUGCCAACUUCUACCAAAUGGUUUGCUGACCAUGGUGUUACUAAGUUUGAUUGGCCAGCCAACUUUCCUGACAUAAACCACCCGUAGAGAGUCUGUGGAUCUUGUUUAGUAAUAGUGCUAGUCAAGAGUUGUUUCAUUCGGGAACCUUUUAAAGAACCAGUUUACUUUUCCAUGGUUAGGACCACAAGAGAACCACAUUUAUGAACUCAUCUCUUAUUUCUCAGAAACACUUGCUGUAGAGUUGAUAAAUUUACAUGAUGCUUUUAGUAUAACACUGUUUUUCUCUCUUGAAAUAGAUGUGAAAAAAGAUUGAUGAUCUGGUGUUCAGAGUCCACAGAUUUCCUUUGCAGUAUGGGUUUAUCAGAAAUACAGGUGCAGUGAAGUAUCUGAAUAUUCACGGUUCACCUAAAAGCCACACAGAAGCAACAACCUAGAAUUAGAUGUAAAGAUAAACAUACUUUAAGGAAGUUGGACAGUUUUUUAUUUUAUAUCAGUUUUUUAAUUAAUUUUGGAAACAGUCUCAAUAUUAUAGCAAUUGGAUUCUUGAUUUAUGAGCAUAGCUUGUGGCCAGAAUCAUAUCAAAUUAAAGGCUUAAAAAGCACUUUUUUCUGGAUAUUCUGUAUAAAAAUGUUACAUGGUGUUGCAUGGUGAAUUUGUGAAAUUCAUAUUUUGAAGUGUUGUGUUUCAGCCCUUGCCCGCUUGGCACUUGGAGCCAGAAUAAUGCAUAUUUAUCCAGGAGAGUGAAAUCCAAGGGAGGAAAAAAUUUGUUGGCAUUUUGAUGAGGAUGGACUCAAUAUUAGAGUCAGCCGAGAGAACUCUGUUUUUCUUCUUCUUUUUUUCCUCUUUUUUAAAAAUUUUGUUUAUUUUAAUCCAAAACUGAGAUUUGCAGUUUAAGUUUUGAUUCAGUCUUAAAAUUAUUUCCCUCGUAGAUUUAGGGGUUUUUGUUUGUUUGUUUGCUCUCCUUAUAUCCACUUCCAGGUUUGGAAUGCAGUCAACAGCAAAUACCAUCAAAAUGUCAGCUGAUCUGGUAGUCUUGGAACUGACAAAACUGCACAGACUGUCUAUGUGGUUAGUCUUGAGGCAGCUGGCUGUCCAAUCAAGCAAGUACCAUCAGGGUCAGCUAACCCUUUGGUGGCAGUUUUGGGGUUGUGGGCAGGUGCUGAGUCCUGCUGGAAUUGGCAUUUCUACAUAAGUGAGGAAGACAAGUGUGAAAGAAUAGUAAUGGGUUAGAUUAAGUGUUUCUUUAAGAGAUCCAAAUCUGCUCCGAUUGAAUCAAUUGAGGUGAUUAUGACACUGUUGUUAUCAAUCUAAAAUCACUAAAAGAAUGUAUUUUCAUGUUUGAAUCUAUUUAUCUGUACUUUCACAGGUCUUAACAAACAAUAUUCCUUCAUUAUAAACCUCAAAUAUUCUUUUACUUUCAUAAGUAACCCAGGUGAGAAAUGUCACAUUUUUUGAGAGCUUAAUUUUUCAGGUCUUGGUGUUAUAUUAUCAACCAGUUAAUAUAUGAAACUACGGAGCCCCUCUGGUGACACUGAAGAAAAAGAAAAUUAAUGUGUGGUCACUAGUUGGUAUCUCGUGGCCACGAGAUACCAACUAGUGGCCACACAUUAAUUCACCAAAAUUAUGAAGAGGCACACUUUCCAGAAAACAGCUAUUGUAGUAUGACCAUGAGGACACCUUUGGUGUGUUUGGUGAUAUUGGAGUCUCUGUACUGUAUGACAGCAGAGCUACUUGUUUUUGUUUGCAGCAUCUUGCUCUUGUAUUGCAACUUGCAGACGGUCCCUGUGCGCUCGCCUGGCUACCGGCUGCGCAUAGAGAUCAAUAUUAUUCAUCCAGCUCGAAGAACGGCUUGUUUUUGUGACAAGCCAGUUUUUAAUUCUUGUUGCUGGUAGUCUGUGCUAUUAUGACGUGAAAGAGGCAUCAUUUGUGUUUGGACAACGUUUCCUCUUAGAGUUAUUGAUCCUGGAAGUCUGAAUCUGUGAAUAUCUUUCCAACUUUACUGAACUCUGUGAAGGUCAUGUUUUUGGGAUGUGGGAGGAAACUGAAGUACCCUGAGUAAACCCAUGCAGACACAGGAAGAACAUGCAAACUCCACACAGAAAUGCCCUGACCCGGAUUCGAACCCAGGACCUUGUUGCUGUGAGGCGACAGUGCUAACCACUACACCACUGUGCCACCCUAAAUAAAUAAAUAAAUAAAUAAAUAAAUAAAUAAAUAAAUAAAUUCAAGUCACAACACAUAUUAACAUUUAAACCACUUUCGCUGGUUGAUUAAGAGGAUGUGAUGCUGGAAGACUAAAUGAAGUUUGAGUUUAAUUAAAAAAAAUAACUGUAACAAAGGCAGAGAGCAGCAAUCAUAUAUGUCCACUUGCUUGAUUCUAAAGGGCGUUUGGACUCAAGGUACAAAGCCUCAGUGAAUAGGCAGACUAAUUGACUCACUUUACAUCUGAAGCAGGGACCGUAGAUCCUAAUUAAUAAAGUGAUACUGCCCUGCUGGGCUCCACCGCCGUGAACGAUGGGCAGUUAAUGGCUCCCACUGUAAAGGUGCCAAAAGGAGCUACUGCCAUUUCUCAAUGUGUAGAAAUGACUUCUGUUUAUUUGUUCGUCAUCUGGGUAACGUGGUGACUCCAAUCAUCGUAAUAGAUAUCACCAUGGUGGAUGAUCUUCAGGACAAAGGAAAACUCUUACAGUUAUUGCUUUGAGAGUCUCACACUUCUGAGUGCAGUUACAUUACCAGUGGUGCAAAACCAACAAAGACCUCAGCUGCCAAAAGCUCUGAUUCACAGUGUGAGUGUUGUCAUCCACUGAUCAUUUGUGAGAACUGAUGAAGAUGUCAGUGUUUCUGGGUCUGUGGUUUGCAAAGUAAAAGUUCCUGGUCAAUAGUUUGUGAUAUUUCACGACACUCAGAAAGCUCUGAUAAUGUUAAUCCAAAUUAAAUCUGCAAAAAUUCGGGGUGGCUGUUUUUUUUUUUCAUUAAUUAUACAUAUUCAUAUUUUUAUAAAAUUUCCAUGGAGCUUUUUCUGCUUUCUUCACAUCAAAAAUGUUGUUGACUGUGUAGUAGAACAAAAAUGUAGACAUAUUAUUGGUGCAGCUGGAUCAUUUUGCUGUACAGUGCGGGUCAAUUCACAGGAAGAGUAAACUAAAAUCAAUCAAUAUAUCCAUAUACUAUAUAAAAAAGUGAUAAGUGGAUGAUUUGAUUUGUGUCUUUCAGGAGAGAUGAUCAAUUGCCUUCGCAGUGCGAACAGUUGGAGUAAAGAAAGCCAUGCGCUGUCUGCAAAAUCCAAGGUGCACCGGAUAGCCUUUUAGUAUGUAAUAAAAACAGUUGAAAUGCUUUGAUUAUUGUUGCUUUAUAACAACUAAAUCCCUCAUGUACUCUUUCAAAUCAACAUCCUGGGCAUUUUUUUCCCCCAAAGACUACAGCAUCAGAAAAUAGUUGGAAGAGUUGAUGUUUUGGUGUCAACAACAGCUCUUUGUGCUUGUCUCUUCACAGGUGACUCUUGUAAAAAAGGUCAGUGUGAUUCAUCUUUAAAGACAUUCCAAGCUUGGGAUGAUAAACUGGAGGAAGCAAUAUGACAGCAGACACUGGGGAAAAAGCUGAAGUGGCAAAAUAAAGAGUUUCAUGAGUGCUAACAGCUAGCCUUUGUUGAUUCCUGUAGAGACAUAACUUAUGUGUCAUUUCAUGACUUUAGAGCUGUGUGUAAAGUAAC
rnacentral:lncRNA from 1 species